AUAUGGCAAAUGUGAGAUGCAGUGUACGGAACAUCAAUAUUCUAGUAUGAGAAGUUAACGAUUUAAGUCCUUCUUAAAUGAGGCCAUUUACCCAUAGAGGGUGCCAGGCCCGUAUAACGUUAAUGAUUACUAGAUGGUGUUUCCAAAGAGUCGUGUUGCUUGAUAGUGCAGCACUAAGUGGGUGGUAAACUCCAUCUAAAACUAAAUAUAACCAUGAGACCGAUAGUAAACAAGUACCGUGAGGGAAAGUUGAAAAGAACUCUGAAUAGAGAGUUAAAUAGUACGUGAAACUGCUUAGAGGUUAAGCCCGAUGAACCUGAAUAUCCGUUAUGGAAAAUUCAUCAUUAGAAUUGUAAUAUUUUAAACAAUAUUAUAAUAAUAGUGUGCAUUUUUUCCAUAUAAGGACAUUGUAAUCUAUUAGCAUAAAUAUUUAUCAUAAAAUUAUGUCUGAUUGCUUAUUUGAAUUAUAUGCUUGCAUUUUAACAUAAAAUAAAAGACAUAAAUUUGAUAAAGUGCUGAUAGAUUUAUAUGAUUACAGUGCGUUAAUUUUUCGGAAUUAUAUAAUGGCAUAAUUAUCAUUGAUAUUUGUGUUUAUUAUAUGCACUUGUAUGAUUAACAAUGCGAAAGAUUCAGGAUACCUUCGGGACCCGUCUUGA
rnacentral:rRNA from 1 species